rnacentral:rRNA from 1 species
UGGGGAAUAUUGCACAAUGGGCGCAAGCCUGAUGCAGCCAUGCCGCGUGUAUGAAGAAGGCCUUCGGGUUGUAAAGUACUUUCAGCGGGGAGGAAGGCGAUGCGGUUAAUAACCGCGUCGAUUGACGUUACCCGCAGAAGAAGCACCGGCUAACUCCGUGCCAGCAGCCGCGGUAAUACGGAGGGUGCAAGCGUUAAUCGGAAUUACUGGGCGUAAAGCGCACGCAGGCGGUCUGUCAAGUCGGAUGUGAAAUCCCCGGGCUCAACCUGGGAACUGCAUCCGAAACUGGCAGGCUUGAGUCUCGUAGAGGGGGGUAGAAUUCCAGGUGUAGCGGUGAAAUGCGUAGAGAUCUGGAGGAAUACCGGUGGCGAAGGCGGCCCCCUGACGAAGACUGACGCUCAGGUGCGAAAGCGUGGGGAGCAAACA